GAUGAACGCUGGCGGCAUGCCUAAUACAUGCAAGUCGAACGAGAGACCUUCGGGUCUCUAGUGGCGAACGGGUGAGUAACACGUAGGGAACCUGCCCGCGCACCGGGAAUACGCUCUGGAAACGGAGAACAAAUCCCGAUGUACAGGAAGGAGGCAUCUUCUUUCUGUGAAACAUCCUUUCGGGGAUGGGGCGCGGAUGGACCUGCGGUGCAUUAGUUGGUUGGCGGGGUAAAGGCCCACCAAGACGAUGAUGCAUAGCCGGCCUGAGAGGGCGGACGGCCACAUUGGGACUGAGACACGGCCCAGACUCCUGCGGGAGGCAGCAGUAGGGAAUUUUCGUCAAUGGGCGCAAGCCUGAACGAGCGAUGCCGCGUGAGUGAAGAAGGCCUUCGGGUCGUAAAGCUCUGUUGCGGGGGAAAAAAGGCAGCAUCAGGAAAUGGGUGCUGACUGAU
rnacentral:rRNA from 1 species